rnacentral:rRNA from 1 species
ACUCCUACGGGAGGCAGCAGUAGGGAAUCUUCCGCAAUGGACGAAAGUCUGACGGAGCAACGCCGCGUGAGUGAUGGAGGCUUUCGGGUCGUAAAACUCUGUUGUUAGGGAAGAACAAGUGCUAGUUGAAUAAGCUGGCACCUUGACGGUACCUAACCAGAAAGCCACGGCUAACUACGUGCCAGCAGCCGCGGUAAUACGUAGGUGGCAAGCGUUAUCCGGAAUUAUUGGGCGUAAAGCGCGCGCAGGUGGUUUCUUAAGUCUGAUGUGAAAGCCCACGGCUCAACCGUGGAGGGUCAUUGGAAACUGGGAGACUUGAGUGCAGAAGAGGAAAGUGGAAUUCCAUGUGUAGCGGUGAAAUGCGCAGAGAUAUGGAGGAACACCAGUGGCGAAGGCGACUUUCUGGUCUGUAACUGACACUGAGGCGCGAAAGCGUGGGGAGCAAACAGGAUUAGAUACCCUGGUAGUCCACGCCGUAAACGAUGAGUGCUAAGUGUUAGGGGGUUUCCGCCCCUUAGUGCUGCAGCUAACGCAUUAAGCACUCCGCCUGGGGAGUACGACCGCAAGGUUGAAACUCAAAGGAAUUGACGG